rnacentral:rRNA from 1 species
UGCCAGACAGGGAAACUGCGUACGGCUCAUUACACCAGCCUUAAUUUACUUGACCUUGACAACCUACUUGGAUAACUGUGGUAAUUCUAGAGCUAAUACAUGCACCAAAGCUCCGAUCCUCGCGGAGAGGAGCGCAUUUGUUCGCCACAAAACCAAGCGCCCAUCUGGGCGUCCAGUGCUGAACCAGAACAACUCAGCUGAUCGCACGGUCUUGUACCGGCGACGUGUCUUUCAAGUGUCUGCCUUAUCAACUUUCGAUGGUAGUGUACCUGACUACCAUGGUUGUGACGGGUAACGGAGGAUAAGGGUUCGACUCCGGAGAAGGGGCCUGAGAAAUGGCCACUACGUCUAAGGAUGGCAGCAGGCGCGCAAAUUACCCACUCUCAACGCGAGGAGGUAGUGACGAGAA